rnacentral:lncRNA from 7 species
UAUAAAUGAUGAAUGGCUAUAAACUCCCUACAAGUGAUAAUGCUUUUUUUCUCAAGUUACUCUGAUACUCAUUUUGAAACAUUACCUUUUCAAAAUGACGGCAUAAUUAUCUCCAGAUAUGCUACUCUCUAUAAUGGUUAUUUUAUUCUGAUUCCUUGUACUUUUUUCUUGUUUGCCUUCACUGGUGAACUUCGAGUUCAACUACCUGAUCACUCCCAGGGCUAACCAAAAGUGAAAGAACGUUAUUGAGGACAUAGUCUAAAUGCCUCUAGAACAUUGGCAUGCAAGGCACUGCGGCAGCAUCAGACAUUCCUUCCUUGCACGCUGGAGGAAAGGGCAAAGCAGCAUCUGAGGAGUCUAACAGCUUGUCUGAAGCUGCGUCUCACUGUCUGCAAGAGUACAGAAUCGUUUUCAUGACCUACCCUGUUCUAAAGCAGCAGUAGUGCCAUGUUCCACACUGUUACCUCUGGCUUUCCUCUGCCACAGUCAGUGACAAGAAGGCAGCACUCACGUGGAGCCAGCUGCAUUUUCAACCACCAUAUGCUCCCCCUGGCAGAAAUGCCCUUGGGGCUUCCCCAGGCUGUUCUGAAGGGAGCAAAUCCCUCCUCAGCAGUCUUGGCUGGGUGACAGGCUGGUCUUUGCAGUAAUUCAAGAAACACUCUUGUUGGAAAGCGUAGGUUUCAAAGAUUCAUUUCUCCAAAGCAGCUGGAAUCCAAGAAAAUGUGUCAAAUCUCCACUGAAGGGAGAAACUGCUGUGCCAGCGCUAAGUUGUUCUUAUUUUAAACAGCAUAGUGAUUGGCCAUGUCGAUGUCAUUAUUUCUCUCUUCCUUGAAGUCGCUGGUUUUCCUGGGACGUGCUGCAGGGCAGUCUGUGAGCCAGCUGUCAUGCCCUGCACCAUAUGGUGGCAGCAGUCAGGAAAUCCCUGUGGGCUACUGCUGGGCUGCUGUGGGAACAGCACUUAUCUGAGCACAGGCCGCUUUUAGAUGGGAUGCAGUGACAGCAUUCACGGGAUCUUGCCUGUGCAUUUGGAGGAGGAUGCUGGAAACAACGACCUCUCAUUUAAGAUCUGUGAUGAACUCAGAAGACACCACUGCAGGACCAUUCAGGGAAGCUGCAGUUCAGUCUGCCCGUUUCCUGAAUCCAGUUUUUCAGAGACCAGAGUUCCAGUGGUUUUCUCUUAAUGGUCAACAUUGAUAUGCUGACAUACUACAUGAUGAUGAAAGUAGUUUAAAAAUGAAAAGAAGAAAUCUGUAAUGCAUCAGCAAUUUUGUCUGGAAACAUUAAUCUCUACUUUCUGAACUCUAAAAGAUAUCCUGUGCCUUUAUUUUAAUUGCAUGCGUUGAUUGUGCACUUACAUUCCUGUUCUAAAAGCACCGAAGUUGUGCUUUCCCACUCAUAGUGUGCAACUUCUUAGUAAAACGUAGAUUCUCUGAGAUGCGUUUCCAUCAGUUGUUCAGAGUGAAACACAGAGGAGUUCUCUUUGUCAGCGCUCAGUGGGAAAAAAAAAACAACAUUUGAAUAACUGUUGUACUUACUGGUACUUUUUCAUAUCUUAAAAUUUAUUGAGAAUUGCACGGUUGGGAACUAACUUUGAGACUCUGAUGAUGUGAGACAACUUUGCAGCACAUUUAGUACUGCAUAGCACUGUGGUGAUGAAAUUCCUCUAGAGAAAUAUAAAAUAUAAAACGCCAAAAUAUUUUCUCAUGUCUUUCCUUUAAAUUAAAUUUCAUGCUGUUUUUACUUUUCUGAAUUGACUCUCGGGGUUUAAUGCCAAAUGCUGAUCAUAAGAUAAAGCUGUAUCAAUUUCUUCUUUAUUUUCUUUGUCCUAUCCUAUUAAGAGAUCUUACUUUAAACUAUCUGGGGUCCUUCAGACAAAAAAAUCAGGGACAAGAAAACAAAACUUCCCAGCCUUUUCAGUCUGACCGCAGCAAUGAAAAAGCUGACAUUUGACUGGCAUUCUGAGAAAAGUUUUUGGAUACAUUAUAAAGUUAGUUCUUGUAAUCACCUCAGUCCAUUCUGCUGUUGACAAUACAUGAAACAUGGAU